rnacentral:sRNA from 1 species
CUUGCUAUAAUAAAUGUAGCUAUUUUGUUCGAUGACACCUUCAAGUAUCGUAACGUUAAGUUUUCGUUUUGAGGCAAGAGCAAGAAUAGUAAUACAUUUGUGUGAUCGGUUCACACUAGGAGGAAAAGAAUUAUGGUACAAGGUACAGUAAAAUGGUUUAACGCAGACAAAGGUUUUGGAUUUAUCGAAGUUGAAGGACAAGACGAUGUAUUCGUUCACUUCUCUGCUAUCCAAGGCGAAGGCUUUAAAACACUUGAAGAAGGUCAAAGCGUAACUUUCGACAUCGAAGAAGGUAACCGUGGACCACAAGCAGCUAACGUAGAAAAAAACUAAUUUAGCUCUUUAUAGAAAAGACGCUUAUGCUUAGGCAUAAGCGUUUUUU